UAUUUAUGGAUAUAUGAGUAUAUAUAUGUCAUGAAAAAUGAUUAGGCUGUUCGAAAACAAAAUAAUAAUAAUAAUAAUAAUUGAGCUCUAUAGAUAGCUUAAUAUUAAAUUCUUUUUUAUCUUUUCUUUGCAUGUAAUUGUCUAAGAUUAAAUUUGUCUAACGUUAGAAACAGGCCCGGCCCCCAUACAUGGGCGACUUGGGCUCAGGCCCAGGACAGCAAAAUAUUGAGGGCAUCAAAAUAGUCCAGCUAGUUAUAUGUAUAGUAUAUAUAAAAACGGCCCAAAAAACUUAGCCCAUGGUGAUGACCUGUUUACCGACGUCUUGAGAAAGAAAGCUGGGAAGACGCACCAAUUCCAAGCAAUCAUCGAUCUGCUUAUAGAGAAACCAAACGCCUUUCGUGCCUAGAAUCCCGCUGGCGUUGCUUUCGAUGGGAGAAAUCAAUGCCCACCUAGAAUACUUCUCUCAUAAAUAAACACAAAAGGCGAUUUUGAAUUUUUGAUUUAGUAGUUCACUGAUUUGGAUGUGAUUCGUGGUUAUUUAAGAAAUUAGAUUUAGGUGAGUUCAAUCGAAACUUGUGUUUAUUUAGGUUUGUUUCAGAAAUCUUUGAUUUAUUAUUCAUCUGAUGAUCUGAUUUCUUAUCUAUUUUAUUACAGGAAAAAAUAGUCAGAGUCCAAAAUAGUUCAUUCUAAAUUUUCUAUUUCAGAAUCAUAUUUAUGUUUCAAUCUUUAGACAUUAAAUCAGAUUUCUCCUAUGUUUGUGUUUGUGCUCAAUAUUGUUGUUUCAGAAAUCAUCAAAUCAUAUUUGGGUAACAGGGUAAGUUUAAACUUGAAAUUUGUGUUAUUUAGGUUUCUUUCAGAAAUUGGAUUUAUUUCUUAUAUAUCUGAUUUAUUCUCUAAGAGUUAUUGAUUUUUUGGAUCUAAUUUCUCUAUUGUUUCUGAAAUCAGAUUUGGGUGAUUUCUGUAUUGUUUUCUCCAAGUUUCAGCUCCGAAAUCAGAUUUGUAUCUAAUUUCUUUACUAUUUCAGCAAUCAGAUUUAUAUAUACUUUUUCAGAAAUCAGAUUUUUAGAUUUUGAGGACAUGUUUCAAGGUCAUCCCAUGAGUGAAAGAAAGUUGAAGGGGCUGUUUGGGCACACAUCACAUGUGGUUGCAGGGCAGUGCUUGGGAUCUUGGUUGCUUAUAUUUGUUGCCAAGGUUUUUUUAGUGUGAUCAGAAUUCUAUGCAAGAUUGUUUUGUUUUGAAAACAAUUUUGGUUGAUUUUGUUGGAUUGAUUAGUUAUGUAUAAAACAAAACAUAAGUUGUUAUAUUAUAAUCCCAAAAAUAGUUGCACAACAGAA